UAAGCACUCAUACGUUUCGGGUCGAGCAUUGACAAGUUUCAACAAAGUCAAAAAAAGAUCUCAGCUUGGAACUUCAACGACUUUAACGGUUACAGUGGUGAAGACUUACUAAGAUCAGGCCUGAAAUCAAAAUGAAAAACGCUAAACAAACCAAAAGAUUCUCCUUUUCAACCAUGUUUCUUUUUUUGAUAAUUGUUGCGGCAGUCACUGCUAAAGCGACACAAAAAGACAGUUUUCAUCAAAUUGAUGCCGCCAUUGACGAGUACGCGGCCACGAAGAAACAGGCGCGCGGAUGGAGAGUUUGCCACAGCGGGAAAUGUUCUAAUAGCCGCGGCCGUAAAAGAGGAAUGAAAAGGGCUCGACCACAUUUCAAAGAGGAGCUGCAAGAUUUCCAAAUCACCAGCAAAGAGGAUAUCGACAUACCACCAGCAGAAGCAAGGACGUUAAAACAUUGGAAAGACGACUUCCAAUCGUAAUUUAAAGAAACCUCUAAAACAGAUUGCCGUUUCACUAUCUACUAUAUUUGUUUACUGGAUGUCAAGUCUAAGUCUUCAUAUUGUUUAACAACAUUUUGGAAAAUAUCAAGUAUCGAUGGUCUUCAGAACUAACAACUAAUGAAAGAAAGCAAAGUAUUAAAAAACUAAAAGAUCUUCAAAUUAACUUAUGGUAGUAAAAUUCAUGUGAACACAAUAAAAGUU